rnacentral:lncRNA from 1 species
AAUGAAGAAAUCAAGGCAUCCUCAGAUGAAGAAAAACUAAAGAAUUUUUUUUUUUUUUUAACCAGCAGAUCUACCCUAAAUUAAUGAAUAAAGGAAGCUGUCUAAACAGAAAGGAAGUAAUAAAAGAAGGAACUUUGGAAAAGCAUGAAGCAAGAAAACACAGAGUAUUUCAGGAAAAAAUAUGGACUUCGGGGGACUUCCGCCAAGAGGGCCGAACAGGAACUGGAGUGCAGUUCUCAGUGACAGCGACACAGAAGGCCAGUGGUCUCUGCAUCUCCAACCAAGAAAGAGAAACUGCAAUUUCAUUGGCCUCACAUAAAACCUUCUUCAAAGUCUCCAGUCCUGCCCUCAAAUCGAGUUUGUAGUUGUUGCUCAAAAUAUCUGUGAUCUAGACUUUCAUGUUAUUAAACCACUUUGCUCCAUCUGGUAUUUUGGCUACUGAAGAAGCUCUCAUGUAUUUAUUGAUUGAUUGAGAUAUAAUUCACAUACCAUAAAACCUAUCUGCUUAAAAU